GUGACACGCCGAGGUGGAUUCCUUUUCUUUGGGCGCUUGUGUUUUUGCAGCGUUCCCUUUAAGAGGCAUCGCGAUGACUGAUGUAACUUAACACGGGCUUCUGUGUAAGCUGAGGCUAAACAAACACAGAUGGAUUGCCGAAUGCGUUCGUGAAAAAAAAUGUUGGCAGGGCAGAGGAAGGGGACUUGAGAUGACAUUCUCGCAUCACUAGAGGCAUUGCUACAGAGCUGUUGCUAUAGCUGCCGAGAGGGAGGGUUAACACACACACACACACGGGAGUAAGGGGCUGAAACCCUCCCGGAAGAUCAUUCAAUUAUAAGAAAAUCUCAGAUGUCUUGGUGAUAAUGAGGACCUCGGAGAGCCUGAAUGAAGCAGAGUGGAAGAGAUUGUGCACGAUAAAGCGGCUGAAACGGAAGAACCGGGAUGUUAGCAGGCAAGGGGUGAUCCUGGAGAAAGUUUACGGAGGUGAGGAGGGAAGGCUCGGGGAUGCUUUGAUCGCCCGCCUGAGCGACAGCACCGACACUUUGCAAACAGCGGCCGUCAGCUCCGCGGGUACAGGCUGCGGUGCUGAGUUACUGGGGCUGAGCCGGAUGGUGAGCCCAGCCUGUAUGCCCUCUACUACCGCCGCUGUCGGCGUCGGAAGGCGGCACGACGGGGAGCUCAGCCCAAAGUCCGCCGCUCCGGCACGGAGGAAAUUCCCUCGCCCUCCCACGUCCCAAGCGGGCGCUGCCGAGCCCCGGGCGUUCACCGGGCAGCCGAGCCUGCAACCUCGCGUCCUGCUGUGCCAGCGCCCCGCCGACGGCUGCUACUCGAGCCUCCCGCCCGCAGCCUACAGCCCGUCGCCUCGGAAGCGGCUGGGAGAGCCGUCCGGCGCCUCCACCGAGAUCAAAGCCAUCCAACAGACCCGCAGGCUGCUGGCCAACGCCAGGGAGAGGACCAGGGUCCACACUAUCAGCGCUGCCUUCGAAGCUCUGAGGAAACAGGUUCCUUGCUAUUCAUAUGGACAGAAGUUGUCGAAGUUGGCGAUCCUGAGGAUAGCGUGUAAUUACAUCCUGUCCUUGGCCAGGCUGAACGACCUCGAUUACAGCUCCGAUCACAGCAACAUGAGCUUUUCCGAGUGUGUGGAGCAAUGCACCAAGACGUUGCAGGCAGAGGGCAGAUCAAAAAAGAGGAAGAUGACAUUGUUGCUAGAGAGUUGAGCGACGAGGACUCUAGGGACCGCAAAUCUUGAGAAGCCCAGCACGGACUCCCAGCCUCGAGGUGAAGCCCAGGACGGACUCCCAGCCUCAAGAUGAAGCCCAGCACAGACUCUCAGUCUCGAGGUGAAGCCCAGCAUGGACUCUCAUCCUCGAGGUGAAGCCCAGCGCAGACUCUCAGCCUCUUGUGAAGCCCAGCACAAACACCCUGCUUUAGAACUUCAGGACCGUAAUGCUGAACUUCUUCUUUUAUUUCUUUAUUUUUAUAAUUUAUACCUAAGACUUUGUACAUUGUACCCAAGAUAGUGCCAGAAAUGGCAACUUUGUAACACUUCUUGUUGUAUUCCUGUAUCCCUGUACUUCAGUACAUGUGACAAUAAAGCCUAAUUCUAUUCUAUUUCUGUUAAAUGGAGGCAACUGUUUCAGAACAGCAGUAUACUUCUGUCAAAGUAUUGCCAAAUAUCUUUAGAACAGAAAAUCUUUGCGCACAGACACAAGUCAUUUGGCCCGUCAUACAUGUAUUGGCUCUUUGAAAGAAGUAUCCAGUUUUCCCUUGUAGCAUUGUUCUAAACAGUAUAAUCCAAUUACUUAUUGACAGUUUCUAAAUGUCUAACAUUUCCACUUUGAAAGAGAUACUGCAAUUGGAAAAAGUAUAUCAUUCAACCAAUUCCAACAACUUGUUUUCUUCGCAUUGAACUCAUGCCACAUUUAUGUAGAUUAACAGAAUUGACCAUGUUGGUGCCUUUGAUGUUCCAGAAUCCCACUUCCCAUUCUUUCCUGAGAACUGAAGCCUUUUGCCAGAAUGACCAGGGGAAGGAGCGACAUAUCACAGGAACAUCACACAGUAAACUGGUGUCUAGCCUACACUGACAGGGGAAGCAGACGCAUAAGACAUUGAAGACCAGAUAUAGGAUUGCAGGAGACGUUCCACGGGAGAGAGGCUAAUGCAAAAGAAAUGAUGUUGCCGAUUUGGGGAAAUCAAAAUGAAGCCACUUUUAUUGUGAAUACACUAUCAACAUUUAAGAACAGUCAAAUCUCUAGAUGUGCAAUCUGCUCAGCGCUUUCUCUUUUCACUUUGAAGAAGGAAGAUGUUGUUUUGAGCCACCACUAACAGCACAGAGAACAAGAUAAAGAGGAAUCAUGCAAUUUGAACAUUGAUAGUUUUGUUUUGAAAGUUAGGAGAGUUAAAAAUCAAGCCUCUGGGACAGAUUUAGCUAUGAACACAUGUUAGCCCACUGGGUACAAUGUAAUGCAUUUUGUUUUUGUGGCUGGCUAACAAGGAUUUACGAUGCUGUAGAGGAGUUUAUAACAAUCAUCUGCAUCCCAGGAUUAAUUGCAUAUUUUUGAUACUGUAAAUCUGAAUACUUUGCUGUAAAAAAAAAGUUGGCUUAAUUUGAUGAAUCAAGCUAAAAACUAGUGCUAGUUAUUUCAAAAACUGCAGUAUUUUCAGACAGUUGGUUGUAAUGCUGAUGACCCUACAUGUGAUCUCGUGUAUUUUCAGCUGUUUUCUGAUUGUGUACUAGCAAGAAUUCUCCUGCUGAUUGCAAUUUAUAGCGGGGGGAUCCUUAGAAACACGUGGUCAGACAAUCAGAAAGCGCACUGAUAUGACAUGCACUUUAUGAUCUAUGUAAUCACACUAUUCCUUGUAUUAUUGCUGGGUCAUAUUAAUCACUAGUAUUAAUGUACAAAUGUUUGUAAAGGUAUUUGAGACUUUG